AUGAGUGUUUAUCACCCAAGGAAUUUGCAUCCUCUUCUGAUAAAAAGGAUUACUUGUGAAAUAAACCACUUGGAUGUAAAUCUUUGGCUGAGUCUGUUUCACAGAGUAACCAACCAAAGGCUGAUAUUACUGAGUUCUGACAAAUAGUAAACGAAAUGACACAUCAUUUUUGCUCUAAGAUAAUUAAGAGCCAGUGUGCCUCGUCCAUCUCUUUUCUCCUUUGACAGCAACUUUGGAGGCCAUGUUUUAGAAGCAUCCUGUGUUCUUGGGUCGUCAUGUGAUGGAACAUCGCUCUGGAGAACCAAUUUACCUCCUUAAGACUUUGGUGAAUGAUAAAUAAACCUUUAUUAUGGGAAGCCACUGAUGUACCAAGUUGUUUUUGUUAUUUACUAUAGGGUAGCCUAGCCUAUUCUUGAAAGUAAGAGCCUUUUAUUUAUAUUUAUAUAUUAAUAUUUUAUCCCCCCCCACUAGAUUUUAAAAAGUAUGCAUGUGACUUGUAUAACUUUAU
rnacentral:lncRNA from 1 species